rnacentral:rRNA from 1 species
UACGGAGGGGGCUAGCGUUGUUCGGAAUGAUUGGGCGUAAAGCGUCCGCAGGUGGCAAUGUAAGUCUGCUGUUAAAGAGUCUAGCUCAACUAGAUAAGAGCAGUGGAAACUACAUAGCUAGAGUACGUUCGGGGCAGAGGGAAUUCCUGGUGUAGCGGUGAAAUGCGUAGAGAUCAGGAAGAACACCGGUGGCGAAGGCGCUCUGCUAGGCCGUAACUGACACUGAGGGACGAAAGCUAGGGGAGCGAAUGGG